AUUGAACGCUGGCGGCAUGCUUUACACAUGCAAGUCGAACGGCAGCGCGGGGCAACCUGGCGGCGAGUGGCGAACGGGUGAGUCAUACAUCGGAACGUACCCAGAAGCGGGGGAUAACGUAGCGAAAGUUACGAUAAUACCGCAUACGUUCUACGGAAGAAGGAGGGGGAUCGCAAGACCUCAUGGUAUUGGAGCUGCCGAUGUCUGAUUAGCUAGUUGGUGAGGUAAAGGCGCACCAAGGCGACGAUCAGUAGCUGGUCUGAGAGGACGACCAGCCACACUGGGACUGAGACACGGCCCAGACUCCUACGGGAGGCAGCAGUGAGGAAUUUUGGACAAUGGGGGCAACCCUGAUCCAGCAAUGCCGCGUGAGUGAAGAAGGCCUUCGGGUUGUAAAGCUCUUUUGUCAGGGAAGAAAUCGCAGAGGCUAUUAUCCUGUGCGGAUGACGGUACCUGAAGAAUAAGCACCGGCUAACUACGUGCCAGCCGCCGCAGUAAUAC
rnacentral:rRNA from 1 species